GGAAGUAAACGUCGUAACAAGGUUUCCGUAGGCGAACCUGCGGAAGGAUCAUUAUCGUACAAAAUGUGAGGGGCAUGCGAGGGCUGUCGCUGACCCUAAAGUCGUGCACGCCCGAGUGUGUCCUCUUGCAUAAUAAUCCAUCUCACCCUUUGUGCAUCACCGCGUGGGCACCCUUCGGGAUCAUCUCGGAGGGGAGCUCGCGUUUUCACACAAACCCCCCUUUUAAAAGUGUAGAAUGACCACAUUUAUGCAAUCAAUACAACUUUCAACAACGGAUCUCUUGGCUCUC
rnacentral:misc_RNA from 1 species